AUAGUUUGAUCAUGGCUCAGAAUCAACGCUGGCGGCGUGCCUCAGACAUGCAAGUCGAACGCGAAAGUCCCCUUCGGGGGACAAGUAGAGUGGCGUCCGGGUGAGUAACACGUAGGUAAUCUACCUUCGGGUGGGGAAUAACGCAGGGAAACUUGCGCUAAUACCGCAUAAUGCAGCGGCACCACAUGGUGACAGUUGUUAAAGCGGGGGAUUUUCGAACCUCGCGCCUGAAGAGGAGCCUGCGGCAGAUUAGCUAGUUGGUAAGGUAACGGCUUACCAAGGCGACGAUCUGUAGCCGGCCUGAGAGGGCGGUCGGCCACACUGACACUGACAUACGGGUCAGACUCCUACGGGAGGCAGCAGUCGGGAAUUUUGGGCAAUGGGCGAAAGCCUGACCCAGCAACGCCGCGUGAAGGAUGAAAUCCCUCGGGAUGUAAACUUCGCAAGAAUAGGAAGAAUGAGCGAGUACUAAUACUGCUCGUGAUGACGGUACUAUUUGUAAGCUCCGGCUAACUCCGUGCCAGCAGCCGCGGUAAUACGGGGGGAGCAAGCGUUGUUCGGAUUUACUGGGCGUAAAGGGCGCGUAGGCGGCCAGCACAAGUCAGUUGUGAAAUCUCCGGGCUUAACUCGGAAAGGUCAACUGAUACUGUGCGGCUAGAGUGCAGAAGGGGCAACUGGGAUUCUCGGUGUAGCGGUGAAAUGCGUAGAUAUCGAGAGGAACACCUGCGGCGAAAGCGGGUUGCUGGGCUGACACUGACGCUGAUGCGCGAAAGCCAGGGGAGCGAACGGGAUUAGAUACCCCGGUAGUCCUGGCCUUAAACGAUGGAUGCUUGGUGUCUGGAGUUUUAUAGUCUCCGGGUGCCGUAGCUAACGCGUUAAGCAUCCCGCCUGGGGGAGUACGUCGCAGACUGAAACUCAAAGGAAUGACGGGACCCGCACAAGCGGUGGAGC
rnacentral:rRNA from 1 species